CGAAAGCCUGACGGAGCAACGCCGCGUGAGGGAUGAAGGCCUCUGGGCUGUAAACCUCUUUUCUCAAGGAAGAAGAUCUGACGGUACUUGAGGAAUAAGCCACGGCUAAUUCCGUGCCAGCAGCCGCGGUAAUACGGGAGUGGCAAGCGUUAUCCGGAAUUAUUGGGCGUAAAGCGUCCGCAGGCGGCCUCGAAAGUCUGUCGUUAAAGCGUGGAGCUUAACUCCAUUUAAGCGGUGGAAACUACGAGGCUAGAGUGUGGUAGGGGCAGAGGGAAUUCCCGGUGUAGCGGUGAAAUGCGUAGAUAUCGGGAAGAACACCAGUGGCGAAGGCGCUCUGCUGGGCCAUAACUGACGCUCAUGGACGAAAGCCAGGGGAGCGAAAGGGAUUAGAUACCCCUGUAGUCCUGGCCGUAAACGAUGAACACUAGGUGUCGGGGGAAUCGACCCCCUCGGUGUCGUAGCUAACGCGUUAAGUGUUCCGCCUGGGGAGUACGCACGCAAGUGUGAAACUCAAAGGAAUUGACGGGGGCCCGCACAAGCGGUGGAGUAUGUGGUUUAAUUCGAUGCAACGCGAAGAACCUUACCAGGGCUUGACAUCCUGCGAAUCCCUUGGAAACUAGGGAGUGCCUUCGGGAGCGCAGAGACAGGUGGUGCAUGGCUGUCGUCAGCUCGUGUCGUGAGAUGUUGGGUUAAGUCCCGCAACGAGCGCAACCCACGUCUUUAGUUGCCAGCAUUAAGUUGGGCACUCUAGAGAGACCGCCGGUGAUAAACCGGAGGAAGGUGUGGAUGACGUCAAGUCAUCAUGCCCCUUACGUCCUGGGCUACACACGUACUACAAUGCUACGGACAAAGGGCAGCAAACUCGCGAGAGCUAGCAAAUCCCAUAAACCGUGGCUCAGUUCAGAUCGUAGGCUGCAACUCGCCUACGUGAAGGAGGAAUCGCUAGUAAUCGCAGGUCAGCAUACUGCGGUGAAUACGUUCCCGGGCCUUGUACACACCGCCCGUCACACCAUGGAAGUUGGCCACGCCCGAAGUCGUUACUCCAACCCGUAAGGGAGGAGGAUGCCGAAGGUGGGGCUGAUGACUGGGGUGAAGUCGUAACAAGGUAGCCGUACCGGAAGGUGCGGCUGGAUCACCUCCUAACAGGGAUACA
rnacentral:rRNA from 1 species